GGCUCUUUAGCUCAGUCGGUUAGAGCGACGGAAUCAUAAUCCGCAGGUCCCCCGUUCGAAUCGGGGAAGAGCCA
rfam:Advenella mimigardefordensis DPN7, complete genome.